rnacentral:lncRNA from 1 species
ACAGGUCUUUUUCGAAUUUCUUGUUACCAGCAUUGCCAUGCUAAUGUAAGAAAGAAAUCCGAUGGCAGCUAAGAUCCCAUUUCAAAUUUCUUCCCCUUGCCUUCUUUGAGAAAUUUGGGGGUAGUUUUGAAAACAGAUCCAAGCGAAAAUCCUUCAAGCUCUUUGCUUAUGGACACCAAACGUCUACAUGCAAAAGAUUAUUGCAAGUCACGAAAACAAUCCUUCAAGCUCUUUGCUUAUGGACACCAAACGUCUACAUGCAAAAGAUUAUUGCAAGUCACGAAAACAAUAGUCAGCAGACGCGUGAUACCUGAUGUUUUUCCUUCCAUCUUGGGAAAAAACUAGUCCCUAGAAGUUG